rnacentral:rRNA from 1 species
GAGUUUGAUCCUGGCUCAGAAUCAACGCUGGCGGCGCGCCUAACACAUGCAAGUCGAACGAGAAAGUCCGCAAGGAUGAGUAAAGUGGCGUACGGGUGAGUAACACGUGGAUAACCUGCCCUUUAGUGGGGAAUACCGCUGGGAAACCGGCGACAAUACCGCAUAAGCUCGAAAGAGGAAAGCAGCAAUGCGCUGAAGGAGGGGUCCGCGGCCGAUUAGCUAGUUGGCAGGGUAAAAGCCUACCAAGGCUGUGAUCGGUAGCCGGCCUGAGAGGGCACACGGCCACACUGGCACUGGAACACGGGCCAGACUCCUACGGGAGGCAGCAGUGGGGAAUCUUGCACAAUGGGGGAAACCCUGAUGCAGCGACGCCGCGUGAGCGAUGAAGCCCUUCGGGGUGUAAAGCUCUUUCGGCAGGGACGAUUAUGACGGUACCUGCAGAAGCAGCUGCGGCUAACUACGUGCCAGCAGCCGCGGUAAUACGUAGGCAGCAAGCGUUGUUCGGAGUUACUGGGCGUAAAGGGUGCGUAGGCGGCUUCUUAAGUCUGGUGUGAAAUCUCCCGGCUCAACUGGGAGGGUGCGCCGGAUACUGAGGGGCUAGAGUGUGGGAGAGGAAAGUGGAAUUCCUGGUGUAGCGGUGAAAUGCGUAGAUAUCAGGAGGAACACCGGUGGUGUAAACGGCUUUCUGGACCAUUACUGACGCUGAUGCACGAAAGCGUGGGUAGCAAACAGGAUUAGAUACCCUGGUAGUCCACGCCCUAAACGAUGCAUAUUUGGUGGGGGCCAUUCAGUUGGUCCGUGCCGGAGCUAACGCGUUAAAUAUGCCGCCUGGGGAGUACAGUCGCAAGGCUGAAACUCAAAGGAAUUGACGGGGGCCCGCACAAGCGGUGGAGCAUGUGGUUUAAUUCGACGCAACGCGAAGAACCUUACCUGGGCUCGAAAUGCUGUGGACCAGCCUGUGAAAGCAGGCCUUCCCGCAAGGGACCGCAGUAUAGGUGCUGCAUGGCUGUCGUCAGCUCGUGUCGUGAAAUGUUGGGUUAAGUCCCGCAACGAGCGCAACCCUUGUC